rnacentral:tRNA from 1 species
GCCGAAAUAGCUCAGUUGGGAGAGCGUUAGACUGAAGAUCUAAAAUUUGUGUGUGUGUGUGUGUGCACACUGGUU